GAUGAACGCUGGCGGCGUGCUUAACACAUGCAAGUCGAACGGUGAAAGAGGAGCUUGCUCCUCUGGAUCAGUGGCGAACGGGUGAGUAACACGUGAGAAAUCUGCCCUGGACUCUGGGAUAAGCGUUGGAAACGACGUCUAAUACCGGAUACGAGACGCGAAGGCAUCUUCAGCGUCUGGAAAGAACUUCGGUCCAGGAUGAUCUCGCGGCCUAUCAGCUAGUUGGUGAGGUAACGGCUCACCAUGGCGACGACGGGUAGCCGGCCUGAGAGGGUGACCGGCCACACUGGGACUGAGACACGGCCCAGACUCCUACGGGAGGCAGCAGUGGGGAAUAUUGCACAAUGGGCGCAAGCCUGAUGCAGCAACGCCGCGUGAGGGACGACGGCCUUCGGGUUGUAAACCUCUUUUAGUAGGGAAGAAGCGAAAGUGACGGUACCUGCAGAAAAAGCACCGGCUAACUACGUGCCAGCAGCCGCGGUAAUACGUAGGGUGCAAGCGUUAUCCGGAAUUAUUGGGCGUAAAGAGCUCGUAGGCGGUUUGUCGCGUCUGCUGUGAAAACCGGAGGCUCAACCUCCGGCCUGCAGUGGGUACGGGCAAACUAGAGUGCGGUAGGGGAGAUUGGAAUUCCUGGUGUAGCGGUGGAAUGCGCAGAUAUCAGGAGGAACACCGAUGGCGA
rnacentral:rRNA from 1 species